CCCCGAGCUUUCGGCUCCGGUUGGCCCCUAGUGGGCGGAGAUGAGUGCUCUGGGUCCUGGGUCAGGUGGCAGGGGCCUCUGUAAUUUGCUUUCCUUUGGUUCGCUCGGGAACCCAGGAAAGAAGACCAGGAAGGUAGAAGGGAAAAUUGUCACCUGCCGAACGGAAGGUUCCCAAUUGCUGCUACGAGGUGAAGUUCAAGCUGCUUAGAGCAGUGUUCCAGAGGACAGCAUCCUCCCCUGAAAUCUGGACCAUGCCUGCAUGCUCUCCCUACAUCCCCUAAGCACUUAGGACUUUGCUGCAUGGCCCUGCUCUGUGACUGUUGACACCAGACGUCAUGUUGACAGCAGAUAGUAUGAAAUCCACUUUUGGAAGCUAAAUGUCUCACAACCCUGGGGAACCAGAGGAUUCUGAUCCAGGCAAGCUCAACUAAGUCAACUUAAGUUUUCCCUGGAGCCAUUGCGGGUAGACCCUGGAAAUAAGAGCUUUAAAAUUAGUAGCAUUCAUGUUCAUACCUUUAUAACAUCUGUCACAGCGCCUGUCCCACAGCUGAUGCGUGACUGGUAGUUGUUGAGCAGCUAAACCUGGUACUUCUGAGAACAGCUAGAAGUCCCAGUACCCUCAGGUGAUUCCGCACUCCACGAUGAGUCCAAACAUGGACAGGACUCUGGGAAUGUCAUGGAAACCAAGGACCUACGAGCACACUGAGCUGCACGAUGGCUUUCGUUUCUGGUUGACUCGGUUCUUUGUCAGGUCAUGGUAGGCCUUGGCAGGCGGGCUAUCACCAAAUAGAGCACCAGAGGAAAGCACCUCUAACAUGCAUUCUGAGUCACUCAGCCCACCACGGUGACAGAUUCUAUAGUCUCACAUUACUGGAAAACAUAUGUAGUCAUUUUCCAACUUCGAGCACUCAUCCAAAAGGGAACUUGUGAACCUGGCAUUAGGCUCAUGCGUUUGCUGUGAUGGGAAGGGGGAACUUUAAAAGUGAUUCCUAAAGAAAACUGGAGAACGAAGUGAGCGUUUGGAGCAUAAAGUAGAGAAAACAGUCCAUUUGGAUCAAGACAUGCUGUUUUUGUCCUUUGGCAGUUUCCUUAUACGUCAUCUUGCAAACCAUCCUAACCAUCAUCCGAGAGGGUUCUGAAGGCACAAGGCAAGCAUAAACAUUCCCUGAAAGAAUCCUGACAUAUGUGUUCUUUUGUGCCUUAAAUCUUCACUGUGUCUCUUACAUGUGAGUCAAUAAUUCAUUCAAAAAAGCAUAGUUUUCAAUUUGAAAUCAUAUGUUGAAGCCAUGACUUUUAUCCAUAUCAGGUUCUAAUGUCUACAUCCAUUACCUAAUACAUUAGAAUGAUUAUGUCCA